AAUUUAGUCAAUGGCCUAACGGCUGAACCAGCAACUUGCAGGAAUGAGAGUUAAUAUAAUAAGUUUAUUAACUUGCUUGACUAGGUCUUAUAAAGUUCUGGAUAAAGCUUAUUAUGAAAACUUUAUAUCCAUAGGUCUCGACCAAAUCUUGUGCCCAGCAGUCGCGGUAAGACAAGGGAGACGAGUGUUAUUCAUCUUUAACAGGUAUAUAGGGUACCUAGACGGUGUACAAUGGCUUUGAUAAGAACCUGUUACACUUGAGUUUGAUAUAGGAGAGGAAUAUGUCGGAAUUGUUGGUGUAAAGAUGAAAUUUGCUAAUACCAAUAGGACCGGUAACGGCGAAGGCAAACCUCUAUGUACAUAUACUUGCUUAUUCUAGAACAGUUUUUCUUAAAAAAAUUUUUGUUUUUAUUAUAAAUAGGAGUUCUGUCUCUUAGUGUGAUUUAUUAUUAAUUGAAUAAAGUGAAACGAAGAGAACGCUUUAAUGCGAAAAAAGGUGAAAGCAAAGUAUUAAACUGACGUUGAGGGACGAAGGCUCAGAGAGUGAAGAGGAUUAGAUACCCCCCGUAGCCUGGGCAGACAAUGAUGAGUGCCAUAGGUUGGCUUUACGCGGAACUAUAAAUGAAAGUGGAAGCACUCCACCUCAAGAGUAAUGUGGCAACGCAGGAACUGAAAUCAUUAGACCGUUUCUGAAACCAGUAGUGAAGUAUGUUAUUUACGGAAAA
rnacentral:rRNA from 1 species